rnacentral:lncRNA from 1 species
GGCGCACAUGGAGGUUCAGGACAAGAUGGAAGAGAAUGCUUAUCACAAAGCUGGUGACAGAGCAGGGGCUGGGGAGGGGCCGCUGCACAGGUCCAUGAUGAAGUCUUUUUGAUGUUGAACCAUUGGCAUUCAGCAGUGAUGAAGAAGACGGUGUCUCAAGAAGCUCUGGAUCUUGACCCGCCAUCUGCCAGCGUCCCUGCCCUACUUUCUUACUCAGAAAUGGAAACAUAAGCCCUAUAGUGAGCCAUAAUAUGGGAUCAAUGCCACCUCUUCCAUGUGGGUGGCAUUGACCGUCCCUCAUAUUAUGGUUCCUUAUAGGACUCUGUUCUUUAUAGGACAUCCUGCAGUGAUUUAAAGGUGGCUCAUGCCUGUAAUUCCAGCACUUUGGGAGGCCGAGACGGGCAGAUCAUGAGGUCAGGAGAUCAAGACCAUCCUGGCUAACACGGUGAAACCUCGUCUCUACUAAAAACACAAAAAAUUAGCCGGGUGUGGUGGCGUGCGCCUGUAAUCCCAGCUACUCGGGAGGCUGAGGCAGGAGAAUUGCUUGAACCUGGGAGGUUUCAACCCGCCACUGCAUUCCAACCUAGGCAACAGAGUAAGACUCUAUCUCAAAAAAAAAAAAAGCAUCUAUUUCUUCAUUAUCUCAUUAUCCUCAUCACAUGAAUAAGUAAUAUCCAUUCCCACAGGAGGUGGAUGGCAUCUUUCCUGAGAAGUGGGCACUAGAAAAUAGAUCAGCCAUGCAGUGGACUCUUAGGAUGGGAUCAUCCCCAGCAGGGCAUUGGAGGCAUUGGAGGCAUUGAUUUCAACAAGGUAAGGCCAAGUUGGAUUGACGCAUACCAGGAAAAGGACAUGAUUUCUGUUUAUGUUUUGAGCAUCUUCUCUUUUGAAUGGUUUUCCUGCUAAAAAUAACACAUGCUCAUUGCAGAAAAUCUAGAAGGUUCAGAAGGGUGUGAAGAGACACCCCAUCCAGAAAUAAACACUGUUAAUAUUUUUCCUAUUCAAUUAUUAUUUGAAGUCAUAUUGAAGAUAUGAUUUAUUUUGGUUUUCUUUGC